UUUGAACCGCCGUCGCCAUGCCGAAGCUGAGCAAAGAGGCGAAGCAGCGGCUGCAGCACCUCUUCCAAGGCGGGCAGUUCGCUAUCCGGCUUUAAGAGAGGUGCAGAUCCUGGAAUGCCUGAACCAUCCCUUCUAAGUUUGCUUUGGGGAUGAAGGAUUUAACCAUUAUAUUCUGGAAGUAUCCUCUGAACAAAUAAAG